ACAGGGGAGGGUGCAGGAGGCCAUGUUAUGGGAGCUGAGAUCACAAUGGAGCCAUGCCAAUGCCUUGACCUUGCAAGAGAACCAGAGCCAGUGGAAGAAACACUAUAUCAGCGAGAGUGCCAGAAAAACAAAAGGAAACAAAAAACAUGAAUACCUCAAAGACGAAAGCAGAUUUCACUCUGAACUUGGAGGCAGUCUCACAUUUAUCCUCCCACACCGGGAUCCCAUGUCAGCCAUCCUCAUCCCUAUCGCCCACUGUUCUAGGACUUAGAUGCGACGCCACCGGCUCAAGAUAUUUACAGCAUGAUCCUGCUUUAUAAAGACCAUGGCAGUAGCAGCGGUGCUUAUGAAAUGUGUCAUCUACGUCACCACAUUUCCUGACCUCCCUGUGCUUAAUCAGAGACGUGAGACAUCCUUAUGGCUGCCAUACUUAUGUCCUUCUGUGGACAAAGGGAUGUGUAUUACUUCUGGGAUGAAGCACUGAAGAGCAGUGUCUUUUUUACUUCUGUGAGAUCAAGAAUGUAGCUCCAAACAGAGUGUGUGUGUGUGUGUGUGUGUGUGUGUGUGUGUGUGUGUGUGUGUUGGGGGGGUGGUUCUCAGCUUUAAUACUAUGGACAUUUUGAACCAGGUAAUUGUGAGUGUGGGGGACAGAGGUCUAUCCUGUGCUUUUCAGGAUGUUUAGCUGUAUCCCUAGCCUAUACUUAUUAGCUGCAGCAUCAUUCGCUCCGGUUAUGACAAUAAAAUUUACAGUCUGACACUGUCCA
rnacentral:lncRNA from 12 species